UACGUAGGGUGCGAGCGUUAAUCGGAAUUACUGGGCGUAAAGCGUGCGCAGGCGGUUUUGUAAGCCAGAUGUGAAAUCCCCGGGCUCAACCUGGGAACUGCAUUUGGGACUGCAAGGCUAGAGUACGGCAGAGGGGGGUAGAAUUCCUGGUGUAGCAGUGAAAUGCGUAGAUAUCAGGAGGAAUACCGAUGGCGAAGGCAGCCCCCUGGGUCGAUACUGACGCUCAUGCACGAAAGCGUGGGGAGCGAACAGG
rnacentral:rRNA from 1 species